rnacentral:tRNA from 2 species
AGGCUUGUAGCUCAGGUGGUUAGGGCGCACCCCUGAUAAGGGUGAGGUCGGUGGUUCAAGUCCACUCAGGCCUACCA